rnacentral:rRNA from 1 species
GACGAACGCUGGCGGCGUGCUUAACACAUGCAAGUCGAACGGAAAGGCCCUGCUUUUGUGGGGUGCUCGAGUGGCGAACGGGUGAGUAACACGUGAGUAACCUGCCCUUGACUUUGGGAUAACUUCAGGAAACUGGGGCUAAUACCGGAUAGGAGCUCCUGCUGCAUGGUGGGGGUUGGAAAGUUUCGGCGGUUGGGGAUGGACUCGCGGCUUAUCAGCUUGUUGGUGGGGUAGUGGCUUACCAAGGCUUUGACGGGUAGCCGGCCUGAGAGGGUGACCGGCGACAGUGGGAGUGAGAGAGGCCCGAGACGCAUACGGGGGGCAGAGGGGGGAAAUAUGGCAGAAUGGGGGAGAGCUGUAGGCAGAACCCCCGGGUGGGGAAGAACGGCUUGGGGUUUGAAACCCGUUUUCGCCUGUGAAGAAGGGUGAGUGACGGGAAGGAAUAAAAAGGCCCCGGCAAACUACGUG